ACAGUACAGCAUCUCCCAGGAUAUUUUGAAUACACGUCCCUUUCAAAUGCUUUCUGCAUGCUCUCCUAUAUCUUCCUACCCGAGCACCAAUUUAAGCUGCUCUGAAAUGAAUGGGGGCACAAUGCUGAGGAGAGUGCUGUGGGGGUGUGGUGCACAGAGCUGCUGAAGAAAGGAAAGACACAGAAGCUGAUUAAGGACACUGAAGAAGACAGAAGAUAAAAUGCUUUGGAGAUAUCUCCUCAUCAGGAACAAUCCCUCUCCAGUUGGCUGGAUACUUCAGUUAUCCGCAAUACAGUGAUAAGGUGAUACUCACUCAGAUCUUCUCAGAAACUAUGGAUCAGCAGCUUGUGGAAAGGAUUUACAGCUCACAGAAG
rnacentral:lncRNA from 1 species